rnacentral:tRNA from 1 species
CCCUGGUGUCUCAGUGAUAAAAGAAUCUGCCUGUAGUGUGGGAGACCCAGGUUUGAUUCCUGGAUCAGGGA